rnacentral:sRNA from 1 species
AUCGUGAAGAAGUCAUGCUACCCACGCUGGAAUGAGACGUUUGAAUUUGAGCUGCA